rnacentral:rRNA from 1 species
GAUAAACGCUGGCGGCGUGCCUAAUACAUGCAAGUCGAGCGAACGGACGAGAAGCUUGCUUCUCUGAUGUUAGCGGCGGACGGGUGAGUAACACGUGGAUAACCUACCUAUAAGACUGGGAUAACUUCGGGAAACCGGAGCUAAUACCGGAUAAUAUUUUGAACCGCAUGGUUCAAAAGUGAAAGACGGUCUUGCUGUCACUUAUAGAUGGAUCCGCGCUGCAUUAGCUAGUUGGUAAGGUAACGGCUUACCAAGGCAACGAUGCAUAGCCGACCUGAGAGGGUGAUCGGCCACACUGGAACUGAGACACGGUCCAGACUCCUACGGGAGGCAGCAGUAGGGAAUCUUCCGCAAUGGGCGAAAGCCUGACGGAGCAACGCCGCGUGAGUGAUGAAGGUCUUCGGAUCGUAAAACUCUGUUAUUAGGGAAGAACAUAUGUGUAAGUAACUGUGCACAUCUUGACGGUACCUAAUCAGAAAGCCACGGCUAACUACGUGCCAGCAGCCGCGGUAAUACGUAGGUGGGCAGCGUUAUCCGGAAAUUAUGGGCGUAAAGCGCGCGCAGGCGGUUUUUUAGUCUGAUGUGAAAGCCCACGGCUCAACCGUGGAGGGUCAUUGGAAACUGGAAAACUUGAGUGCAGAAGAGGAAAGUGGAAUUCCAUGUGUAGCGGUGAAAUGCGCAGAGAUAUGGAGGAACACCAGUGGCGAAGGCGACUUUCUGGUCUGUAACUGACGCUGAUGUGCGAAAGCGUGGGGAUCAAACAGGAUUAGAUACCCUGGUAGUCCACGCCGUAAACGAUGAGUGCUAAGUGUUAGGGGGUUUCCGCCCCUUAGUGCUGCAGCUAACGCAUUAAGCACUCCGCCUGGGGAGUACGACCGCAAGGUUGAAACUCAAAGGAAUUGACGGGGACCCGCACAAGCGGUGGAGCAUGUGGUUUAAUUCGAAGCAACGCGAAGAACCUUACCAAGUCUUGACAUCCUUUGACAACUCUAGAGAUAGAGCCUUCCCCUUCGGGGGACAAAGUGACAGGUGGUGCAUGGUUGUCGUCAGCUCGUGUCGUGAGAUGUUGGGUUAAGUCCCGCAACGAGCGCAACCCUUAAGCUUAGUUGCCAUCAUUAAGUUGGGCACUCUAAGUUGACUGCCGGUGACAAACCGGAGGAAGGUGGGGAUGACGUCAAAUCAUCAUGCCCCUUAUGAUUUGGGCUACACACGUGCUACAAUGGACAAUACAAAGGGCAGCGAAACCGCGAGGUCAAGCAAAUCCCAUAAAGUUGUUCUCAGUUCGGAUUGUAGUCUGCAACUCGACUACAUGAAGCUGGAAUCGCUAGUAAUCGUAGAUCAGCAUGCUACGGUGAAUACGUUCCCGGGUCU